AGUGAACGCUGGCGGUAGGCCUAACACAUGCAAGUCGAACGGCAGCACAGUAAGAGCUUGCUCUUACGGGUGGCGAGUGGCGGACGGGUGAGGAAUACAUCGGAAUCUACUUUUUCGUGGGGGAUAACGUAGGGAAACUUACGCUAAUACCGCAUACGACCUACGGGUGAAAGCAGGGGAUCUUCGGACCUUGCGCGAUUGAAUGAGCCGAUGUCGGAUUAGCUAGUUGGCGGGGUAAAGGCCCACCAAGGCGGCGAUCCGUAGCUGGUCUGAGAGGAUGAUCAGCCACACUGGAACUGAGACACGGUCCAGACUCCUACGGGAGGCAGCAGUGGGGAAUAUUGGGCAAUGGGCGCAAGCCUGAUCCAGCCAUACCGCGUGGGUGAAGAAGGCCUUCGGGUUGUAAAGCCCUUUUGUUGGGAAAGAAAAGCAGCAGGUUAAUACCCCGCUGUUCUGACGGUACCCAAAGAAUAAGCACCGGCUAACUUCGUG
rnacentral:rRNA from 1 species